UAUUCUGCUAGGACAUUAUACUAAAAUUAGUGGAUACAGAGAUUAACAUGGUCCCUGCGCAAGAAUGAAGCACAAAUUCGCGAAGAGUUUUUCAUUUGG
rnacentral:snRNA from 1 species